UACGUAGGGUGCAAGCGUUGUCCGGAAUUAUUGGGCGUAAAGAGCUCGUAGGCGGUCUGUCGCGUCGGCUGUGAAAACCCAGGGCUCAACCCUGGGCCUGCAGUCGAUACGGGCAGACUAGAGUCCGGCAGGGGAGACUGGAAUUCCUGGUGUAGCGGUGAAAUGCGCAGAUAUCAGGAGGAACACCGGUGGCGAAGGCGAGUCCCUGGACAACUUCUGACGCUGAGGCACGAAAGCUAGGGGAGCAAACAGG
rnacentral:rRNA from 1 species